rnacentral:tRNA from 1 species
ACCUGGCUGGCUCAGUUGGAAGAGCAGGUGACUCUUAAUCUCAGGGUUGUGAGUUUGAACCCCACGUUAGGUG